GCNCCCUCCGCGCCAUCAGACUCCUACGGGAGGCGAGCAGUGGGGAAGUAUUGGACAAUGGGGGCGAACCCUGAUCCAGCAAUACCGCGUGUGUGAAGAAGGCCUUCGGGUUGUAAAGCACUUAGGCGGGAAGAAGGUUGUUAUUUUAAGAGAUAGACAACUUGACGGUACCCGCAGAAUAAGCACCGGCUAACUCUGUGCCAGCAGCCGCGGUAAUUC
rnacentral:rRNA from 1 species